GAUGUCGGCUCAUCACAUCCUGGGGCUGUAGCCGGUCCCAAGGGUAUGGCUGUUCGCCAUUUAAAGUGGUACGUGAGCUGGGUUUAAAACGUCGUGAGACAGUUUGGUCCCUAUCUACCGCGGGCGCUGGAAGUUUGAGAGGGGCUACUCCUAGUACGAGAGGACCGGAGUGGACGCAUCCCUGGUGUACCGGUUGUCACGCCAGUGGCAUCGCCGGGUAGCUAUAUGCGGAAGAGAUAACCGCUGAAAGCAUCUAAGCGGGAAACUCGCCUCAAGAUGAGACUUCCCGGGGGCUCGACCCCCCUGAAGGGUCGUCCUAGACCAGGACGUUGAUAGGCGGGAUGUGCAAGGGCCGUGAGGCCUUGAGCUAACCCGUACUAAUUGCCCGUGCGGCUUGACCCUAUAACC
rnacentral:rRNA from 1 species